AAGAGUCAUUUAAGAAUCACACACGGUUGGUAUGGGGGGAAUUAUUUCACUGUGGUAAAUUUACUGACACAUUUUUCCUCGAAUACAUGUGCAUGGCAAUUGAUAACUAUGUUUUGCUUUUCAGUAGGAACAGGCGACUCCAAUGCGAGACGGUCCAGAUCGGCAACGACACCCAGUAGAAACGGCGUUGUGGGGGUUUUACGACAUUGUUAGAUAAGCCAGGAGGUGGCCUGGGGUUGAUUAGCAUCACCAAAGGCUAUGUGAAGGGAUGCUUUUACACCUACCUCAACAUGAGGGACUGGGGGAGAACAGAAUACAACUAGAGUAUCUGCCGAUUUGGGAACAUUAUUGCAUGCAGAGAAAAACACAACCAUAAGAUUCCAACCAACAGAGAUGUGUAGAUGACAUAAAUUUAAGGUGUUAAGAAGAACAUACAGUCGUUCUAUCAAUGAAACAACUCACAAAUUGAUUAGAAUGUUUUUAGGAAAACACUAGAUGUUAGAGUUUAGCUACUCAAGUGGCAUUUUUGGGAUAACAGCAGACGAUGGCCAACGCAGGAAGAUCCACCCUGAACUUUUCUUCCUAGAACGAAUGUCCGAUUGGGGAAUCUUGUCCUAAUGGGACCUCCGGUUAGCAGAGCAGUCUGCUCACAGGAACUGAGGUGAUCCGAGGUCCAAGGAGGGAGCGUGAAGCUUAAUCACACGUCUAGGAUGACAGCUACGUGUCAUCUGACCAAACCGCUGACAACAACAGAUGUUCCAACAGAGGAACAUCAAGGAGGAGAAGUAUAGGCACACACAUACAACGAAGGAAUCCACAAACACUGAGCUUAUGUGACACACAAUUUCCAGAUUAGAGAAGGAACGGGAACUGCUGGGACACUUGAUAAACACAUAUGAUAAGAAUGUUCAAACAAACAUACGCCAACGAUAUUACAGUAACAGAAUUUGAGGAUUUUGAGUUCAGAGCGUCUAUUCGGUUGCAAUGACCAAUCAUCACCAAGAUAAAACUAAGUAGCAUUAGACACAUUCACGGAGGAACAUUUGGACAGAAGGAGGGGAGAGAAGUCCAC
ensembl:lncRNA